CUGGGCGAGGUGAAGGUAAUAACCGGAUCCGUGCUCGGUCCCGUGCCUUGGCCUCCCGCGGAUCUGCCUCGCUGCGAGGCUUCCGUGACGGCUUGCCGACGCGGUCGUCCUCUUCGGCCGCUAUUUAACGGUCAGCUCAGAACUGGCACGGACUGGGGGAAUCCGACUGUCUAAUUAAAACAAAGCAUUGCGAUGGCCCUAGCGGGUGUUGACGCAAUGUGAUUUCUGCCCAGUGCUCUGAAUGUCAACGUGAAGAAAUUCAAGCAAGCGCGGGUAAACGGCGGGAGUAACUAUGACUCUCUUAAGUAUAUAGCCCGCCGCGAUUCCCGUUCGUGCAGUGGCGCGCACGCUUCGCUUAGCCCGUUCGUCCCCACCCAGGCGAGCGCCUUGGCAGGUGCCGGGAACUUUGAACAAAUGUGGGUUAAAACCAGGCCCGAUGAUAGUCGGUGCCACAACACGGACCAAGCCGUACUGGGUGGCUCAGCCACCCAGGGUCCCCACACGAGGGGCGGGCCGGAACAUCUGGCCCAACGAACGUUACUGUGACUCCAGGUAGCGCCGUAUCACAGGAGUUGCCGUUGCCUUCACUCCGGGUAGCGUGCAUCGAAUCAGGAGUACAUACAUCCAAUGGAAAGUCGAACAGAGGAAGCCUCGGAUGCUAAUCGUCCUCCUGUCUCUCAGGGGCGAUUGGUAGCAGAGUUACCUGCAAGCCGGAUGAGAGACAACACGGUAAACGAACGCUUACCUCUUGUCGACAGUGAGCGCAUCACUGUCACGGGUCAGGUUACAGGUGCGAUCAGCUGCCCGAAGUGCCAUGCCAAUGGCCUAAAUGACAUCUCACUGGGAAGUCUGCAGCUAGAUAAGCAUUUUCGUUCGAAGCACCCGUCCCUGCGGGUUAGCUGGAAAUGUGGUAGGUGCACAAAGGUCCUGCCUGGUGUGCACAAUUGGCGCUGUCACCUCGCCAAGUGCAGGGCCCCAGUGGUAGCAGUACCUGACCCUCGAAUUGAAUGCGCCUUGUGCGGUAGCAAGUUCACCUCCAAGCGAGGUUUAUCACAGCAUGAGCGGUUUGCUCACCCUCGUGCCCGUAACAUAGCGCGGGCCGAGCAGGCAGAACGCCCUCGAAUCCCAGGUGGCCGCAAGGCUACUGUUUGGUCGGAUGAAGAACUUGUCGAACUGAAGCGACGUGAGUUGGAGCUCGGAAACGAGCGUUUCAUCAAUAUUGCGCUUAUGCGGUUCUUCCCGGGCAAAACUAAUAAGCAGAUCAGUGAAGGGCGAAGGAGGUUGCGGGCUGUCCCUCAUGAGGGAAUCGAACUACCAGCUCAACCCCUGCCAUUAUCGCCACUACUUGAACGAGAGGAAGCUGUCGAGAAUAUCGCAGCAGACCUUGAUUUGCCGGCUCGUGACCUAGUUGCGGAACCGGGCCCUAGUGGCAUUAGAACUGCGGCUGUAGAGCCGGGAGAAGCUCGUCCUUCUAAUGAUCUACCCCAAUUCGAACAACCAGGGGAGGAGGAUUCAUGGAAGGCCCCCUUAGUUGGGGCUAUACGUGCUGUCGAUUGUAGCGAGUUGGGACUGUAUGAGGGCUGGAUGAGUCGAAUGCAGGAGUUGAUCCAGGAUGGAAACCCUAGCGGGAAUGACAUCGAUCGCCUGUAUGACGAGUUUUUGCUUAUUCUAAAGUCAACCAACGCCUCGAACAAUCGCACAAGAAAUAACCCGGAUUUGACGGAAUUACCCGGACGUGACAAGCGCCGGAAGAAGCAUAGUAGGCCAGGCUGAAGCAGGCAGAGAGGUGCCAAUCGCGCUGCGAGACGGGCCUAUGCCUUUGCCAGAUGCCAGGACCUGUUCAACAAUUGCCCCAGCAAGCUGGCGGACAUUGUGUUUUCGAACGAUUUAUCGCUUCUUCAAGUGCAAACGGCACCACCCCAGGAAGGCACACAAAUUCUUUACAACAAACUGUGGGGUGUGGUUGGUCCUCAGGUUCCCCCUUUCGAACUUAGCGCUGAUGUUAUUAGCGUGGGGGCGAUACUGAGACCGAUCACGGUUGCCGAAAUCGAACGCAAGCUCGGGAAAAUUGCCAGCUCCUCAGCAGCUGGUCCCGACGGCAUCACUCGGGGUGACCUGCGCGCUCGAAAUUCUCGCGUAGCGUUCACCGCCUUCCUCAACUUGCUCUUCCUUGCCCAACACUAUCCUGAGGCAUGGAGGGUAAAUCGAACGACACUGAUCCCUAAAGCUGGCAAGGAUCCAGGUGACGUCAGAAACUGGCGACCUAUUACCAUUAGUUCCAUGCUCAGCCGGAUCUUCUCUUCUAUGAUAGAUCGCAGGCUGCGGAACGUUAUCGAACAAUCCGAGCGGCAGAAGGGUUUCACUGAGGAAAAUGGCUGCUUUUCGAAUGUGCACUUGUUAGGUGCAGCUAUAGAGCAGUCAAAGGCUAGUGGAGGUGUGGUGACGGUGCUAGAUGUGUCGAAGGCGUUUGACACUGUGCCCCACUCCGCUAUAUCCGAGU
rnacentral:rRNA from 1 species